rnacentral:rRNA from 1 species
AGCGGUGGAUCGUUGAUUUAAACGGAAGCGGUAAUGCUUAAUGUAACGCACAACUACUAAUUGUAGUUUGAGUGAAGGUUUGACGAGUUUUUAGCUGUAUCUAGUUUGUUGUUAUUAAAUUAAACUGUAGGUGAAAAUGCCUACAUUAGGUAGAGGGACGAGAAGACCCCGUGAAGUUUGAGUAGUUCAUGUUUUGGCUGGGGCAGCAGAAAGGCAAGAUUAGACCUUUUUAACAGAUAUGUUUUGAUCCAUGUUGGCAUGAUUAAAAGAAGGAGUUACUCCGGGGAUAACAGCGUAAUAGUCUUGACAGAUCUUAUAGAUAGACAGGUUUGCGACCUCGAUGUUGGCUCUGGGUAUCCGUAGCCUUGAGCAGGGCUAAAAGGUUGGUUUGUUCGCCCAUUAAAACCC